rnacentral:rRNA from 1 species
UACGUAGGGUCCGAGCGUUGUCCGGAAUUAUUGGGCGUAAAGAGCUCGUAGGCGGUUUGUCGCGUCUGCUGUGAAAUCCCGAGGCUCAACCUCGGGUCUGCAGUGGGUACGGGCAGACUGGAGUGCGGUAGGGGAGAAUGGAAUUCCUGGUGUAGCGGUGGAAUGCGCAGAUAUCAGGAGGAACACCGAUGGCGAAGGCAGUUCUCUGGGCCGUAACUGACGCUGAGGAGCGAAAGCAUGGGUAGCGAACAGG